UUCAAGCAAAAAGAGGAUGGCUCAACCUGAAAGAAGACUCACCAUGGAAGAAAAGCACUCAGAGGAGCAUCAAGGGCUCCAUGAUAUGGUUCAUCGAAUGAGAAUGCACACGAGAAAAUAAAGUUACAGCCUUUGAAAAGAUUCUCCUGCACCAGUCUUGCACAGAAGAGACAAAGCCACUGACUACUGAAAGAUGGAUAUGGGUUUUAACUAUGUGGACAGUGUGCAACCAUCAUGGGUUAAAGACUAAAAGCCCUUCCACCUUUACUCUGAGCCUCAGCAAUUAUAUUAGCAUACUUGAAUUACCCCAUUUCCUGCCUUCUGAGAAGUGAAGAAUAAAAUGUUUCUCCUGUCAAAGAUGAACCCCUUCCUCUGUGAUCCUUUGGAUGCCACCCCAGCUGACUUUCUCAGGAACUUGU
rnacentral:lncRNA from 1 species